AUAAACAAAAAUUAUACAUGAAAAAUGUAAGAAAAAAAUAACUUCAACUCAUGUGGGUUGUUGGUUGGGUGUGCGAGUGUUUUCGGAGGGGGUGUGUGUGUGGAGGUGCGAAUCCAAUCAAAAAUUCAAUAUUAAAUGAUUAAUUUCAUGAACAACAGUGGAACAAAAUGUAUUCGAAAAAGCUCUUGUAAAAGCGUAUGUUUUUCAGGUGUCUCCCAUCUGUGACUGACUGCUCCUGGCCGAAUAGCGUUUGCAGUGGGUAUGGGGAAAAAGCGCAUGAACACAGACACAAACACACAGGCACACUCACUCCCAUCCACAUAGACACAAAGGAUCACAAAUGAAAAAUGUAAUAUGGUAAAUGAACGCCUCUUUCGUUUCCGGGCGCACCGAUGUGGAUGAGACACUCAGGAUACAGCUUACACGACACAAACCGGUCACACUCUGACAUACAUACAGACAAGACGAUGAGACGAUACAACAGGUACAACAGUCUACAAAUAUAGGGGGAUUUACAUUUAUGUACAGUACAAAGGAUGACCUUACACAACUCUUACACGCACGCACUUACAUUGGUACAUAGUAUGUACAUUUCUUUAUAUAUUUAUCUCUAUAGAUAGCACGAUACGAUAGAUAAAAACAAAA